rnacentral:rRNA from 1 species
UACGAGGGGGGCGAGCGUUGUUCGGAAUUUAUUGGGCGUAAAGGGUGCGUAGGCGGUUUGGUAAGUCUGAUGUGAAAUCUAUGGGCUCAACUCAUAGUCUGCAUCGGAAACUGCCGGGCUUGAGUGUGGGAGAGGUGAGUGGAAUUCCUGGUGUAGCGGUGAAAUGCGUAGAUAUCAGGAGGAACACCUGUGGCGAAAGCGGCUCACUGGACCAUAACUGACGCUGAUGCACGAAAAGCUAGGGGGAGCAAACAGG